rnacentral:rRNA from 1 species
ACUACGGGAGGCAGCAGUGAGGAAUAUUGGUCAAUGGACGAGAGUCUGAACCAGCCAAGCAGCGUGAAGGAUGACUGCCCUAUGGGUUGUAAACUUCUUUUAUAUGGGAGUAAACUGUUACACGUGUGGGGUGUUGUAUGUACCGUACGAAUAAGGAUCGGCUAACUCCGUGCCAGCAGCCGCGGUAAUACGGAGGAUCCGAGCGUUAUCCGGAUUUAUUGGGUUUAAAGGGUGCGUAGGUGGUUUGUUAAGUCAGUGGUGAAAGGUUGGGGCUCAACCCUGAAAUUGCAUUUGAAACUGUCAGACUUGAGUACAGUAGAGGUGGGCGGAAUUCGUGGUGUAGCGGUGAAAUGCUUAGAUAUCACGAAGAACACCGAUUGCGAAGGCAGUUCACUAAACUGUAACUGACAUUGAGGCACGAAAGUGUGGGUAUCAAACAGGAUUAGAUACCCGGGUAGUC